rnacentral:rRNA from 1 species
AGCUAGUUGGUGAGGUAAAUGCUUACCAAGGCGACGAUCUGUAGCGGGUCUGAGAGGAUGAUCCGCCACACUGGAACUGAGACACGGUCCAGACUCCUACGGGAGGCAGCAGUGGGGAAUUUUGGACAAUGGGGGCAACCCUGAUCCAGCCAUGCCGCGUGAGUGAAGAAGGCCUUCGGGUUGUAAAGCUCUUUCGGCCGGGAAGAAAUCGCAUGGGCCAAUACCCUGUGUGGAUGACGGUACCGGAAUAAGAAGCACCGGCUAACUACGUGCCAGCAGCCGCGGUAAUACGUAGCUGCGAGCGUUAAUCGGAAUUACUGGGCGUAAAGCGUGCGCAGGCGGUUUUGUAAGACAGGCGUGAAAUCCCCGGGCUUAACCUGGGAACUGCGUUUGUGACUGCAAGGCUAGAGUACGGCAGAGGGGGGUGGAAUUCCACGUGUAGCAGUGAAAUGCGUAGAGAUGUGGAGGAACACCAAUGGCGAAGGCAGCCCCCUGGGUCGAUACUGACGCUCAUGCACGAAAGCGUGGGUAGCAAACAGGAUUAGAUACCCUGGUAGUCCACGCCCUAAACUAUGUCAACUAGGUGUUGGGUGGGUAAAACCAUUUAGUACCGUAGCUAGCGCGUGAAGUUGACCGCCUGGGGAGUACGGCCGCAAGGUUAAAACUCAAAGGAAUUGACGGGGACCCGCACAAGCGGUGGAAGAUGUGGAUUAAUUCGAUGCAACGCGAAAAACCUUACCUACCCUUGACAUGCCAGGAACUUGCCAGAGAUGGCUUGGUGCCCGAAAGGGAGCCUGGACACAGGUGCUGCAUGGCUGUCGUCAGCUCGUGUCGUGAGAUGUUGGGUUAAGUCCCGCAACGAGCGCAACCCUUGUCGUUAAUUGCCAUCAUUUAGUUGGGCACUUUAACGAGACUGCCGGUGACAAACCGGAGGAAGGUGGGGAUGACGUCAAGUCCUCAUGGCCCUUAUGGGUAGGGCUUCACACGUCAUACAAUGGUCGGUACAAAGGGUUGCCAAGCCGCGAGGCGGAGCCAAUCCCAGAAAGCCGAUCGUAGUCCGGAUUGCAGGCUGCAACUCGCCUGCAUGAAGUCGGAAUCGCUAGUAAUCGUGGAUCAGCAUGUCACGGUGAAUACGUUCCCGGGUCUUGUACACACCGCCCGUCACACCAUGGGAGCGGGUUCCGCCAGAAGUAGGUAGCCUAACCGCAAGGGGGGCGCUUACCACGGCGGGGUUCGUGACUGGGGUGAAGUCGUAACAAGGUAGCCGUAGGGGAACCUGCGGCUG